rnacentral:rRNA from 1 species
CACGUAGGGCGCAAGCGUUGUCCGGAAUUAUUGGGCGUAAAGAGCUCGUAGGCGGUCUGUUGCGUCCGCUGUGAAAACUCGGGGCUUGACCCCGAGCCUGCAGUGGAUACGGGCAGACUAGAGGUAGGUAGGGGAGAAUGGAAUUCCCGGUGUAGCGGUGAAAUGCGCAGAUAUCGGGAGGAACACCGGUGGCGAAGGCAGGUCUCUGGGCAUUAACUGACGCUGAGGAGCGAAAGCAUGGGGAGCGAACAGG